UGGAUAGCUCAGCUGGUUAGAGUGUGGUGCUGAUAACAGCAACAUUGACGGUUCAAUCCCCGUAUGGGACAU